GACGAACGCUGGCGGCGUGCCUAAUACAUGCAAGUCGAACGCUUCUUUCCUCCCGAGUGCUUGCACUCCAUUGGAAAGAGGAGUGGCGGACGGGUGAGUAACACGUGGGUAACCUACCCAUCAGAGGGGGAUGACACUUGGAAACAGGUGCUAAUACCGCAUAACAGUUUAUGCCGCAUGGCAUAAGAGUGAAAGGCGCUUUCGGGUGUCGCUGAUGGAUGGACCCGCGGUGCAUUAGCUAGUUGGUGAGGUAACGGCUCACCAAGGCCACGAUGCAUAGCCGACCUGAGAGGGUGAUCGGCCACACUGGGACUGAGACACGGCCCAGACUCCUACGGGAGGCAGCAGUAGGGAAUCUUCGGCAAUGGACGAAAGUCUGACCGAGCAACGCCGCGUGAGUGAAGAAGGUUUUCGGAUCGUAAAACUCUGUUGUUAGAGAAGAACAAGGACGUUAGUAACCGAACGUCCCCUGACGGUAUCUAACCAGAAAGCCACGGCUAACUACGUG
rnacentral:rRNA from 1 species